rnacentral:rRNA from 1 species
GACGAACGCUGGCGGCGUGCCUAAUACAUGCAAGUCGAACGCAGUGGGGACGGGUGAGUAACACGUGGGUAACCUCCCAUCAGAGGGGAUAACCCUUGGAAACUGGUGCUAAACCGAUACUGAUGGAUGGACUCGGGGUCCAUUAGCUAGUUGGUGAGGUAACGGCUCACCAAGGCCACGAGGCAUAACCGACCUAGGAGGGGGAUCGGCCACCCUGGGGCUGGGACACGGCCCAGACUCCUACGGGAGGCAGCAGGAGGGAAUCUUCGGGAAUGGACGAAAGUCUGACCGAGCAACGCCGCGUGAGUGAAGAAGGUUUUCGGAUCGUAAAACUCUGUUGUUAGAGAAGCGGUAUCUAACCAGAAAGCCACGGCUAACUACGUGCCAGCAGCCGCGGUAAUUC